UACGGGGGGAGCAAGCGUUGUUCGGAUUUAUUGGGCGUAAAGAGCGUGUAGGCGGCCAGAUAGGUCCGUUGUGAAAACUCGAGGCUCAACCUCGAGACGCCGAUGGAAACCAUUUGGCUAGAGUCCGGAAGAGGAGAGUGGAAUUCCUGGUGUAGCGGUGAAAUGCGCAGAUAUCAGGAAGAACACCCGUGGCUAAGGCGGCUCUCUAGUACGGUACUGACGCUGAGACGCGAAAGCGUGGGGAGCGAACAGG
rnacentral:rRNA from 1 species